CACAGCGACGCCAUUGUAACUUCUAUUCAAACGUCUUUUUAUCUUCUUUAAUAAUUGCCGUCUUCGUAAUCAAGACAAUUCUUAAUCAAUCGUAAUAGUUGAUGAAUUUCAAAGAACUGAUAAUUACUGUAAUAAUAUAUCCUGUUGUGUUAUGGAUGAUCUCUGAUAAUCUGUGAAGGAACAUGUUUUCUUUAGCAUCCAGUUAAUUUUCCUCAACAAUAUACUCUAGAUUCUCCCUCAGAAGAACCUUCCUUCCUUCGUCAGUUUUGAUUAGCAUCAGGAUUUUGGGAAAUGCAUGUUGUUUAUUCGUACUACAUGGAAUAUUACCAAUAGCAACUCUUAAAGUGUAUGCGACAACAGUGAAUUAUUGUAUGCGUAUUUAACAAAUUUAAACAACAAGUAAAAUUUGUGUUGAAUAUUAGAUUCAUACAUCAGCAGUGAAAUCUGUUUGUAUCCUUCAAGAUUUUGUACUUAACUUUUUAACAGAUUUAUUCAGUAAUUAUUUGUAAACAAUUGUGUGUUAAGAGUUGUGAAUUGAACACAUUGUCAUUACAGAGCAGGACAGGAAAAAAGGCUAAAAUGAAUCCAGGACAUUCUUUAGAAUUUCCUUUGAAAAGUGAAACUGAAGGUGCAUUAUCACUACCUUCCAUAAAUCAAGAAAACAGCAACUUGGCUGCCUUUAGUGGAACCAGUGAUGAAGACUUUUUGUCUCUGGAUCCAUUGAUGGACAUCAAAAUAGAACCAGAGGAAUUCUGUGAGUCUAAUGAAGAUGAUGACUAUUCAUAUGAAAUGAAUUCAACAGUGAAUGAAAAACAUCCACAAACUUGCAAAAAGGAAGUAAAACAAGAAAGAAGAAAUAGUCACAAUGGAGAGAAGCCUUUCAGAUCAACUGACUGUGAGAAAGCAUUUUACAAGAAAAUUAAUCUUACAAGUGAUAUGACAAAUCCUACCAGAGAGAAAUUUAUAUGCAAUGACUGUGGGAAAGCAUUUUCAUCGAAACAUAAUCUUAUAGUUCAUAUGAGAAUCCAUACCGGAGAGAAGCCAUUCAUUUGCAAGGAAUGUGGGAAAGGAUUUUCCCAGAUAUCAGCUCUUAAAGCUCAUAUGAAAAUCCAUUCUGAAGAGAAGCCAUUCAUGUGCAAGGAAUGUGAGAAAGCAUUUUCCCAGAAACAUCAUCUUACAAGUCAUUUGAGAUUGCAUACAGGAGAGAAGCCAUUUAUGUGUAAGGAAUGUUGGAAAGCAUUUCCGAGGAAAGAUAUUCUUACAAGUCAUAUGAGAAUCCAUACAGGAGAGAAGCCAUUCAUGUGCAAGGAAUGUGGGGAAGCAUUUUCCCACAAACUAAGUCUUACACGUCACAUGAGAUUGCACAGUGGAGAGAAGCCAUUCAUGUGCAAAGAAUGUGAUAAAGCAUUUUCCCAGAAAGGAAAUCUUACACGUCAUAUGAGGUUGCAUACUAGAGAGGAAAAAGAAACAACAUGAUAAAAUAAACCAGUUAAAGCAGAGAUCUCUCAAAUGAUAUGACAGAUCAAAAUCACUCAAAAUCUGCUCAAAAAAAUAUGGAAAAUACAGAAAAAAUACAGAAUAGGGGAUGAACAAAUGAGUGGAAAAAUGGCAGAACACCAAGCCAAUAUAAAGGCCCUAGCUUCACAAAUAGGAAAGAAACAACAGAAUAAAAGUAAAACAGAUAAAUAGGCAGUUUGGUGAAAUUCCAAUGAUUGUAUAGGAAGAUGAGCAAGGAAGUACUAGAGAGAUUUUGGAAGCCACUGUUUGAAGACCUUAGACAAAACCAAGAAAAUUCAUGGAUUGACCCUAUUAGUCAGAACAGCUAGAAAUAGCAAAUGCCACCAAUAAGGUUCACCAUAGAAAAAGUAACAAAGAAAAUGAAAAUAUAAUAACUUCAAAAUAACAGUAAUAGAAAUGAUCCCAAAUUUCUAACAAAAAAAGAUCACUGCACUACACCACAUUUAUGCGCAAGCCUUUUCUAGAAUAGUAAGAGGAGAAGAAGAAUCACCAGAGUGGCUCACAACAAGAAAUAUGUACCAACCUUCUCCCUAAAAGCUCCGAGACUGAGCUCCCUAACACAUAUAGACGCAUCUGCUGCCUUCCAACAACCUACAAAUGGCUCACAGGAGUCAUAGCAGACGAGAUCUGUGAACACCUAGAUCAAGGCAAAUAUAUGGAUAUAGAACAAAAGGGAUGCACAAGAAACAAAUUAGGCACUAAAGAUCAACUGCUAAUAAACAAAACAAUAUUAGAAGAUUGUAAGAAAAGACAAAGGAAUCUUAAUAUGGCUUUGAUAGAUUGCGCGAAGGCAUUUGAUACUGUGCUGUGCACCUGGAUAUUCAAAUGUAUGGAAUUAGACAACAUCAAUGGGGAAAUAAGAUCUUUCUUGGCAGCACGAAUGAGUAAGUGGAAGACCACUCUCUGUCUAACACACACAGAGGGCCAGAUAGUAAUUCCAGACAUAAAGAUCCAAAGAGGAAUAUUUCAGGGUGACAGCCUUUCACGAGUUCUAUUCUGCUUGACUAUAGAUCCGCUUAGGAAAAUCUUGAACAACAUUAACACUGGCUAUGACUUAAGCAAAAGCAGAAGCAGAAAAGAGAAUAAAAGAGUGAAUCACCCACCUGCUCUUCAUGGAUGACCUGCAGUUGUUUGCAGACUCAGAAGAAAAAUUGGAAGAACAAGUUAGGACAGUCCACCAAUUCUCAAAUGACACCUGCAUGGAAUUUGGUUUGGACAAGUGUGCCAAGAGUACAAUAAAGAAAAGGAAGAGAGUAACAUCAGAAGGCUUAAAGGUAGAGGAAGUCAUGUAAGUUGAAGACCCGGCAGAGGAGUCUGCAUGUAAGUACUUGGAAAUAGAAGUAAACACUUGUAUAGAACACAAGAAAGUGAGAGAAAAGAUAAAGAAAGAAUAUAUCAGCCACUUAAAGAAUUAACACCAAAGAACAGGAUCACUGCCAUAAACCAACUGGCGAUACCAUUGGUGACAUGGUUUUGGCAUUGUAGACUGGCCAUAAGGUGAGUUAGACAGGAUGGAUAUUAAAACCAGGAAGAAUCUCACCCUACAUACAGUCACAUACAGACACCAGUGUAUGGACAGAAUAUAUCUCCCUCGCAGAGAAGGUGGAUUAGGCCUGACUGAGAUCAACCAGGCCUACAGAGCACCAAUAGUAAGUAAGUAAGCUCUGAGGACGAAAACAUCAAAAAGGUUGCUCAACACCAUAAUGAAGCCCUGAGCCAACUAACAUCAAUAACAAAACUGGCCAAGAACACUUUGCAGGAGAUCUGAUAAAAGACACAGAGGUCACUGACCAGACUCCAACAGCAACAAUAGCCAUGAAAACUAGGCAGAAGUACAGUCACAGAGAGGAGAGUCUUAAAAUGGAAAGAUGGAAGGACAGGAAGAUUUCAAGAAGAAUUUAAAAAGUUACAUAGGCAAAGAAGAGUCAUUUAGAUGGACAAGAAAUGGAGAUCUAGGUUGUGAUGGAGAAAGACUGUUAAUAGGAGCACAAGACUGAGGCAUCCUGACAAACGGCUUCAAGAAAAUGUCAGGCAAAUCAGCAAAUGACCUGUGUAGGUUUUGUCAUGCAGCGGUUGAGAGUGUUAGUCAUGUGAUAUCAGCCUGCAAGACCCUGCUUGCAGAUUGUCAUUAUUGGAAAAUAUGUAAAGAAUAUAGAAUUGAAGUGAAAGGAAAAGUGUUGGAGCAUGAACCAGAUCCAGUCGCCUGCAAUAGGACUGUUGCCAUCUUUUAUGACAAGGAAAUUCCAACCGGAAGAUAUAUAGAAGGAGGUGCUAUGAUCUGGAACAAGGAGGAAUAAACAGCGAAGAUUAUAGAUGUGGCAGUAACCAGUGACUUUGGCCUCAAUAGAGCUGAAAGGCAUAAAAUAACAAAAUACCAACUGAAGAAUGACCUGAAAAGCACAUGGAACUGAAGGAAAUAGAAAAAAAUACCUUUGGUGGUAGGAGCAACAGGGCUUAUAAAGAAAAAUCUGAGAAAAUAUCUCCAGGGUAUACAAAGUUGCCCAGUAUAAAUGAGGUGCAGAUUGCUGCCUUCAAAGCAAUGGUAAACACCUUGAAACGAGCCCUUGGAUAUAAGGCUAGUGGAAUAUAGAGGCGCAACCAUAGACCCCAGGCUGGGGCCCAUUGCACCCCUGAUAUAAAUUGAAAAUUAAGAAUAACAUAAGCCAGAGAAUAACCAUACAGUUACUCUAUAUGUCAAAGAAGUUUUUCUCAACCAAGUCCUGUCAAAAGACAAGAGAAUUCACACUAGACAGAAACUGUUUACUUGAUCUCUGUCCAAGUAGUUUUUAUUACAUGAUUUUAUUUAACUUGACUCCUGCGUCUGUUUUGAAUGAAGGUGUCUCAAAAUGUAUGUGAAAACUCAUGCUAGAAAGAAGUCAUAUCCUGUAUCUGCACUUGGUUUCCAAGAGUUCUUUUUCAUUAGGUUUUUUCAUUAGGUUAAUCUUAGAGUAAAUGUGUUAACUCAGAAGAAAGUUGUCAUUCUUCCACACGAUGUUGAAACAGUUUUCCUCUUGUAGAUUCAUAACAUAUGUGAGCACACGUGGAGCAUAGAUAUUGUUCUUUUACACUGCAUGUUGUACUUUUGUCUUCUAUUCUGCAAAUCACAGUCAUUGGUUCUGAAUGCCAGACUGUUUUUCAGGUGUCAAAAUGCACAAGCAAAGUCACUCAUCAGGGAGGAUGUUCAGUUGCACUGACAGAUUUGUUAAUGUUUUGCACCCCAAAGUAAGUUACACUUGAUGUGGAGAUAAUUAUUGUGAACUUGUCUGCAAAAUCUAUAGAAAAAAAAGCAAUAGCAACCUAAGGGACAAUAAAAAGGAAAACCAUAUUUAUAUUUUUAUGAUCCAAUUCAUGACCAUCAUCAUUGCUGUUACUCAAAGAAGAGAAGGAGAAUCUGGAGGAGGGUCUCACUGAAAAUGCAGAUGAAGGCUCUUCAUUUGCAGAGUCUUUAUUAGAAGGCAAGGCAGAGCCAAAGUAUUUUGGCCAGAGUGAAUUUGAUGCAAAAUGGUUGUGUAACCUUUAUGCAAAGAUAAAAUAAAUGACUUUGUUUUUUUUCUUAUAAUUGUUCUCAAUAACACUGUACAGUGCUAGGUUAAGAAACUUUCCUUUACCUUCUCCACUUUUCUUGUUCCGGUGUAUUUUUUGUAUGAUUUCCAAAUAAAGAAUUAUUAUUGUCUUUGGCUAACUUGGUUUUCUUCCUUUUGUUAUUCAGCAUUGUCCUUAUAUGCACUUGUAUAUGAAGUUAUAAGUUUGAAUAUUUCCAUGAAAUGUUAUUCUUAGUGGAAAUAGAAAGAUUGAUAUCUUCAUUAUACUUCAGUGAAAUUUAGGUGGUUUCAUUUUUAUUAAUUUUUAUUAUAUGUUCUUGGCUUUAAUCUUCUACAAAGAAGGCAUUAUGAUUUAUACAAAUGCUACAGCAUUUGUAUAAAUCAUAAUGCCUUGUAUUAGCUCACUAAACGCAGUGGACUGUGUAUUUUGUUUUAGGUUAACCAGUCUGAAGUGUUGAAACUGGACUUGUUUUUGUAAAAGACUAAAGUAAUGUAUUAUUCUGCUUAGAUUAAACUUUUGAUUUUAUUUUAUU